GUUCAUGUGGAGCUAGACUCCCAGGUAGUGGAGGAGAUGCCCACUACUAGUAAUAGGGUACAGGUGGGGCUAGUCUCCCAGGUAGUGGAGGAGAUGCCCACUACUAGUAAUAGGGUUCAGGUGGGGCUAGUCUCCCAGGUAGUGGAGGAGAUGCCCACUACUAGUAAUAGGGUUCAGGUGGGGCUAGUCUCCCAGGUAGUGGAGGAGAUGCCCACUAUUAGUAAUGGGGUUCAGGUAGAGCUAGUCUCCCAGGUAGUGGAGGAGAUGCCCACUACUAGUAAUAGGGUUCAGGUGGGGCUAGUCUCCCAGGUAGUGGAGGAGAUGCCUGGUACGAGUGAUGGGCUGCAAGUGGGGAGUGAUGAAAGGG
rnacentral:lncRNA from 1 species